GAUGAACGCUGGCGGCGUGCCUAAUACAUGCAAGUCGAGCGAAUGGAUUAAGAGCUUGCUCUUAUGAAGUUAGCGGCGGACGGGUGAGUAACACGUGGGUAACCUGCCCAUAAGACUGGGAUAACUCCGGGAAACCGGGGCUAAUACCGGAUAACAUUUUGAACCGCAUGGUUCGAAAUUGAAAGGCGGCUUCGGCUGUCACUUAUGGAUGGACCCGCGUCGCAUUAGCGAAUUGGUGAGGUAACGGCUCACCAAGGCAACGAAGCGUAGCCGACCUGAGAGGGUGAUCGGCCACACUGGGACUGAGACACGGCCCAGACUCCUACGGGAGGCAGCAGUAGGGAAUCUUCCGCAAUGGACGAAAGUCUGACGGAGCAACGCCGCGUGAGUGAUGAAGGCUUUCGGGUCGUAAAACUCUGUUGUUAGGGAAGAACAAGUGCUAGUUGAAUAAGCUGGCACCUUGACGGUACCUAACCAGAAAGCCACGGCUAACUACGUGCCAGCCGCCGCCGUAA
rnacentral:rRNA from 1 species